rnacentral:lncRNA from 1 species
UAAAUAAAUACAUUUAAAUUAAAAAAAAAUUUUUAUGACCUUAAGGCUUUAAAAUGUGAAUACUUUUCUUCUAGAUGGACUUAUCAUUAUAAUAAUUCAUACACACUGGAUCAGAAAACAUGCAUUUAUUACAAACUGUGAUAAAUUAUCAUACACAGAAGUAAAAAUUGAAAAGUUUACUUAUUUAUUUUGAGAGAGAAGGAGGGGGAGAGAGCAGGGGAGAGGCAGAGAGAGAGAGAGAGAGAGAGAGAGAGGGAGAGGGAGAGAGAGAAUCCAAAGCAGGCUCUGCACUAGCACAGAGCCCGACCUGCGGUUUGAUCCCAUAAACUGUAAGAUCAUGACCUAAGCCGAAAUCAAGAGUCAGACACUCAACCCAGUGAGCCACCUCAGGGGCCCCACAUAAGUAAAAUUUUUAUUGAAAAUGCAUUCCAUAAUGAAAUGUAUUAGGGGAGAUGGUUAAGAUGCCUUUUGCUUAAAAGAACAUUCAUUUUAUCUCAUUUUUCAGUUACCCAGUUUGGCCCUUUGGGAAAACGGACCGGGGUAAGACUGGCCAUGUAUUGUGAAAGGCGCCGUUCACGGAAACCAACGUUAAGAACGUGUGCCUAGAGAAGUUGAGGGUUGAUAAUCUGCCUCACACUUCUCAGAGUGUCUUCGUGUUAUCCUUCGGGGUGUCCAUAGCCUGCUUUGAAGACCAGUGUCUUUCACUGUGGGAAAUGUGGCCGAGAUGUAUUUCAGCAAAAUAUCACUUUCCACUUUCAGGAGCCUCUCAUUUUGGGAAAGACGGAUACCAGAACAAGCCUUGGUCUACUCUGCAGACUUGGGAUGCUUACCGUGGCAGUUAGGCGUGUUCUUGUUAAGAGCUUGUUCGGAGUGGGAACACGGGUAGCUCUGGGAGCCCUGCUGACCAUUAUCUUCCCAUUCAGGUCUGUAUUGUGGAAGCUGCUCUCUAUUUUCUCAUGUAGAG